AUUGAACGCUGGCGGCAGGCCUAACACAUGCAAGUCGAGCGAGCGGCGGACGGGUGAGUAAUGUCUGGGAAGCUGCCUGAUGGAGGGGGAUAACUACUGGACACGGUGGCUAAUACCGCAUACUAUCGGAUGAACCCAUAUGGGAUUAGCUAGUAGGUGGGGUAAAGGCUCACCUAGGCGACGAUCUCUAGCUGGUCUGAGAGGAUGAUCAGCAACACUUGGACGGAGACACGGCCCAGACUCCUACGGGAGGCAGCAGUGGGGAAUAUUGCACAAUGGGCGCAAGCCGGAUGCAGCCAUGCCGCGUGUAUGAAGAAGGCCUUAGGGUUGUAAAGUACUUUCAGCGGGGAGGCGUUACCCGCAGAAGAAGCACCGGCUAACUCCGUGCCAGCAGCCGCGGUAAUUC
rnacentral:rRNA from 1 species